ACGAACGCUGGCGGCGUGCUUAACACAUGCAAGUCGAACGGAAAGGCCCUGCUUUUGUGGGGUGCUCGAGUGGCGAACGGGUGAGUAACGCGUGAGUAACCUUCCCUUGACUUUGGGAUAACUUCAGGAAACUGGGGCUAAUACCGGAUAGGAGCUCCUGCUGCAUGGUGGGGGUUGGAAAGUUUCGGCGGUUGGUGAUGGACUCGCGGCUUAUCAGCUUGUUGGUGGGGUAGUGGCUUACCAAGGCUUUGACGGGUAGCCGGCCUGAGAGGGUGACCGGCCACAUUGGGACUGAGAUACGGCCCAGACUCCUACGGGAGGCAGCAGUGGGGAAUAUUGCACAAUGGGCGGAAGCCUGAUGCAGCAACGCCGCGUGCGGGAUGACGGCCUUCGGGUUGUAAACCGCUUUCGCCUGUGACGAAGCGUGAGUGACGGUAAUGGGUAAAGAAGCACCGGCUAACUACGU
rnacentral:rRNA from 1 species